GGAAGGAUACCCACUCAGACAGCCUCUGCAGUAUGAGAAUGGAGUGCUUUGAAUCAUCCUGGAGGAUAUGAAACAACAGGAUUUAUAGCCUGCCUUUCUCCCACAAUGAGUUAUGGAAUGUUGUUGAUGUAGUUGAACUAUCCUGCAAAGAAAUAUGGAAAAAGACCAUGCCAACUUGUGGAUGAUGUCAGGAAGAACUGAAACAGCUAUACUAUCCAGUCUAAAAAUGGGAUAUGGACAGUCAAAAAUGGCCCUCUGCACUGAGAGAAAAUACAGCUUUGAGGUGAUGGAUCUAGCCACACACUGCAGAAUGCGGCAUAUGCUCCACAUCAACUAAAUUACAGCUCUUUGGCUUUACUAAGGUGGCUUGAAGAUGGGCCAGUUCACAGCCAUGUUCAAGAUUCUGAAUCUAUUCAGGAAAUCAUUU